ensembl:lncRNA
GGAGGAUGGUUGCAGACGUUCGCAUUCAUGCAAGAAGCCAUGAAAGACAGAGGGAAGUCCAGGACUAGGACACAAGAGACCAGUCAGAACAGUUCUGAGAACAGCCUGACUGACAUCCUCAGUGUCCGGUGUGCCAGUGAUAUUGUCCUACAGCCCAUGCCACCAGGGAGAAAGAAUAGCCAAUCCCACUUCCACAACAAAGAUGUGACUAAAGAGAGAGCUGACUUGGGAAGGCUUCCAAUGGCCCCUCCACCCAUCAGCCUCCCAAUGCUCACCGUGACCUCGCUCACUGUCCAAAGGAUCAAAAACACCCUCAAAGUACCUCUCAUGCCUCUCUGCAGCUGGAGGGACAGAUGGGUAGCAAGCGUCUGGGUCCGGUCAAAACCAAAACCGGAUGUUUUUUUUUACCUCCAGCCAGAAGCAGGAGCCAGAGGUUAAAUCAAGCAGAUCACAGACACCAGGAAGGCCCAAUGUAUGCUCCACUGCAGCCAAGGAAGUAGCUCCUUUAUCUGGGACUCCAUGCAGCCAGUCUGAGGUCAGGAUCCAGGCCAUUACGUUAUUAUAAACUAGUGUUUUUCCACUUUCAAAGGACAUUCUAAUUCCUGGCAAAAUGUUCAUAAAUUGAUAAAAAUGAAAGAUUCACAGACUAAGGCCUACCUUCAAUUUGGACUUCCAGAUAAUUUGCACACGUAGUAUUUGACUACAGUUUCAACAAUAUAUUAUUGAAAACAGAAACACAAGACCUUGUUUUUAAAAAAUACUUUUUUUGUCACAAAUCACAAACCAUAACAGUUUUUUCUGACAUUUAUUGAUCAAAUAAAGUUCUCAUAAAAUAAAA